rnacentral:rRNA from 1 species
GACGAACGCUGGCGGCGUGCUUAACACAUGCAAGUCGAACGAUGAAGCUGGAGCUUGCUCCGGUGGAUUAGUGGCGAACGGGUGAGUAGCACGUGAGCAAUCUGCCCUUGACUCUGGGAUAACUGCGGGAAACUGUAGCUAAUACCGGAUACGAGACCUGAAGGCAUCUUCGGGUCUGGAAAGAAUUUCGGUCAAGGAUGAGCUCGCGGCCUAUCAGCUUGUUGGUGAGGUAAUGGCUCACCAAGGCGACGACGGGUAGCCGGCCUGAGAGGGUGACCGGCCACACUGGGACUGAGACACGGCCCAGACUCCUACGAGAGGCAGCAGUGGGGAAUAUUGCACAAUGGGCGAAAGCCUGAUGCAGCAACGCCGCGUGAGGGAUGAAGGCCUUCGGGUUGUAAACCUCUUUUAGCAGGGAAGAAGCGAAAGUGACGGUACCUGCAGAAAAAGCACCGGCUAACUACGUGCCAGCCGCCGCGGUAA